rfam:TPA: Bos taurus chromosome 7, whole genome shotgun sequence.
GGCUCAGAGGUUAAAGCGUCUGCCUGGAAUGCAGGAGACCCGGGUUCGAUCCCUGG